UACGUAGGGCGCAAGCGUUAUCCGGAAUUAUUGGGCGUAAAGAGCUCGUAGGCGGCUUGUCACGUCGGGUGUGAAAGCCCGGGGCUUAACCCCGGGUCUGCAUUCGAUACGGGCUAGCUAGAGUGUGGUAGGGGAGAUCGGAAUUCCUGGUGUAGCGGUGAAAUGCGCAGAUAUCGGGAGGAACACCAGUGGCGAAGGCGGGCUUCUGGGCCAUCACUGACGCUAAGACGCGAAAGUUAGGGGAGCAAACAGG
rnacentral:rRNA from 1 species